rnacentral:rRNA from 1 species
UUGACCUCGGAUCAGGUAGGGAUACCCGCUGAACUUAAGCAUAUCAAUAAGCGGAGGAAAAGAAACCAACAGGGAUUGCCCUAGUAACGGCGAGUGAAGCGGCAACAGCUCAAAUUUGAAAUCUGGCUCUUUCAGAGUCCGAGUUGUAAUUUGCAGAGGGCGCUUUGGCUUUGGCAGCGGUCCAAGUUCCUUGGAACAGGACGUCACAGAGGGUGAGAAUCCCGUACGUGGUCGCUAGCUAUUGCCGUGUAAAGCCCCUUCGACGAGUCGAGUUGUUUGGGAAUGCAGCUCUAAAUGGGAGGUAAAUUUCUUCUAAAGCUAAAUAUUGGCCAGAGACCGAUAGCGCACAAGUAGAGUGAUCGAAAGAUGAAAAGCACUUUGGAAAGAGAGUCAAACAGCACGUGAAAUUGUUGAAAGGGAAGCGCUUGCAGCCAGACUUGCUUGCAGUUGCUCAUCCGGGCUUUUGCCCGGUGCACUCUUCUGUAGGCAGGCCAGCAUCAGUUUGGGCGGUGGGAUAAAGGUCUCUGUCACGUACCUCUCUUCGGGGAGGCCUUAUAGGGGAGACGACAUACCACCAGCCUAGACUGAGGUCCGCGC